rnacentral:tRNA from 1 species
CUCGGUGAAGCUAACACGGUUGAAGCGCCGCGCUGAAAACGCGGAGGAGCUGGUUCGACUCCGGCCGCCGGGA